rnacentral:sRNA from 1 species
GCCCCCGCGUCUAGUCCGCCGCACCAGCCAGGCGUCUGUCCCUGCGUCCGUGUGUCCGUCCGUCGGUCCGAUCGCGCCACGAUCAGGGCUUCCGGGGACCACCAAGGGGGCGUCGGUACCCGGCCGCACAGAGGCGGCCUCUGCCUCGGCAUGAAGUCCCGCAGGGACAAGCUGCACAUCCCGGCGCUGACCCUCGAUCUGUCUCCGAGCAGCCAGAGCCCGUCCCUGCUGGGUCCCAGCAGCCCCUGCAGCCCCUGUAGCCCCUCCUUGGGCCUGCACCCCUGGAGCUGCCGCAGCGGGAACCGCAAGAGCUUGGUGGUAGGAACGCCCUCCCCGACCCUCUCCCGGCCCCUGUCGCCAUUGUCGGUCCCAACGGGUGAGUGUGGGAGCAGCCAGCGGGUGCUGUGUCCUGCCUUUGCCCCGCUGACUCAGUUUCCCCGCCUCCUCCUCAGCAGGCAGCAGCCCCUUGGAUAGUCCUCGGAAUUUCUCGGCUGCCUCUGCCCUCAAUUUCCCCUUUGCCCGGAGGGCAGACGGCAGAAGAUGGUCCCUCGCGUCUCUCCCAUCUUCCGGCUAUGGAACCAACACACCCAGCUCCACCCUCUCGUCAAGCUCAUCCUCCCGGGAACGUCUCCACCAGCUUCCCUUCCAGCCGACGCCGGACGAGCUGCACUUCCUGUCCAAGCACUUCCGCAGCUCAGAGAAUGUGCUUGAUGAGGAAGGCGGCCGGUCACCCCGCCUCCGCCCCCGCUCUCGCAGUCUCAGCCCGGGCCGCGCAACGGGGACCUUCGACAAUGAAAUUGUCAUGAUGAAUCAUGUGUACCGGGAGAGGUUCCCCAAGGCCACAGCACAGAUGGAGGGCCGUCUGCAGGAGUUCCUGACGGCCUAUGCGCCUGGCGCCCGGCUGGCGCUGGCUGAUGGCGUCUUGGGCUUCAUCCACCACCAGAUCGUCGAGCUGGCCCGAGACUGCUUGGCCAAGUCUGGCGAGAACCUCGUCACCUCCCGCUACUUCCUAGAGAUGCAGGAGAAGCUGGAGCGGCUUCUGCAGGAUGCCCAUGAGCGCUCGGACAGUGAGGAGGUCAGCUUCAUCGUCCAGCUUGUCCGGAAACUGCUGAUCAUCAUCUCACGGCCAGCUCGGCUGCUGGAGUGUCUGGAGUUUGACCCUGAGGAAUUUUACCACCUGCUGGAGGCGGCUGAGGGCCAUGCGCGGGAGGGCCAAGGCAUUAAGACUGACCUUCCACAGUACAUCAUUGGGCAGCUGGGCCUGGCCAAGGACCCCCUGGAGGAGAUGGUGCCACUGAGUCACCUCGAAGAAGAACAGCCCCCAGCACCUGAGUCCCCGGAGAGCCGCGCCCUGGUCGGCCAGUCACGGAGGAAGCCAUGCGAAAGCGACUUUGAGACCAUCAAACUCAUUAGCAACGGAGCCUAUGGGUGAGUCCGAGUCCUGCAUAGACCCAUUUCACAGAUGCCUGAGGGGAUGGUUGAGGCCCAGACAGCCCCUGCAUCCCCCUCCCACCCCAGCAGGGCUCACACAUUCACCCUUGAAUGGGCAGAGAGGGCACCUGAGGCCUGGAGGGGGAAGUGGAGACACGCCAUAUCGAGGUUGCGGCCUCAUGUGUGCUCUGUCCACGAGCCAGGCCUUUACCUGCCCCAAGUGUAGGGCGUUCUAGGGGCUUGGGGGCUGAUCAAGGAAAUAGAUGCCCACCCAGUGGGAGUAGCACACAGUGAGCUUUAUUUAGGUGCUGCUUCGAAUGGCAGGCUUGCAUACAAGGGAAGUCCCUCAUAGCAUAAGCCCUUUGGAGGCUGAGGUUCCCGGAGUCACCAUCAAGAGGGAGAG